rnacentral:rRNA from 1 species
UACGGGGGGGGCAAGCGUUGUUCGGAAUUACUGGGCGUAAAGGGCGCGUAGGCGGCCUGCUAAGUCGGACGUGAAAUCCCCCGGCUCAACCGGGGAACUGCGUCCGAUACUGGUGGGCUCGAAUCCGGGAGAGGGAUGUGGAAUUCCAGGUGUAGCGGUGAAAUGCGUAGAUAUUUGGAGGAACACCGGUGGCGAAGGCGGCAUCCUGGACCGGCAUUGACGCUGAGGCGCGAAAGCCAGGGGAGCAAACGGG